AGAGUUUGAUCAUGGCUCAGAUUGAACGCUGGCGGCAGGCCUAACACAUGCAAGUCGAACGGUAACAGGAAGCAGCUUGCUGCUUUGCUGACGAGUGGCGGACGGGUGAGUAAUGUCUGGGAAACUGCCUGAUGGAGGGGGAUAACUACUGGAAACGGUAGCUAAUACCGCAUAACGUCGCAAGACCAAAGAGGGGGACCUUCGGGCCUCUUGCCAUCGGAUGUGCCCAGAUGGGAUUAGCUAGUAGGUGGGGUAACGGCUCACCUAGGCGACGAUCCCUAGCUGGUCUGAGAGGAUGACCAGCCACACUGGAACUGAGACACGGUCCAGACUCCUACGGGAGGCAGCAGUGGGGAAUAUUGCACAAUGGGCGCAAGCCUGAUGCAGCCAUGCCGCGUGUAUGAAGAAGGCCUUCGGGUUGUAAAGUACUUUCAGCGGGGAGGAAGGCGACAGGGUUAAUAACCCUGUCGAUUGACGUUACCCGCAGAAGAAGCACCGGCUAACUCCGUGCCAGCAGCCGCGGUAAUACGGAGGGUGCAAGCGUUAAUCGGAAUUACUGGGCGUAAAGCGCACGCAGGCGGUCUGUCAAGUCGGAUGUGAAAUCCCCGGGCUCAACCUGGGAACUGCAUUCGAAACUGGCAGGCUAGAGUCUUGUAGAGGGGGGUAGAAUUCCAGGUGUAGCGGUGAAAUGCGUAGAGAUCUGGAGGAAUACCGGUGGCGAAGGCGGCCCCCUGGACAAAGACUGACGCUCAGGUGCGAAAGCGUGGGGAGCAACAGGAUUAGAUACCCUGGUAGUCCAACGCCGUAAACGAUGUCGACUUGGAGGUUGUGCCCUUGAGGCGUGGCUUCCGGAGC
rnacentral:rRNA from 1 species